rnacentral:rRNA from 1 species
AUUGAACGCUGGCGGCAUGCCUUACACAUGCAAGUCGAACGGUAACAGGUCUUCGGAUGCUGACGAGUGGCGAACGGGUGAGUAAUACACCGGAACGUGCCCGAUCGUGGGGGUUAACGAGGCGAAAGCUUUGCUAAUACCGCAUACGAUCUACGGAUGAAAGCGGGGGAGCUUCGGACCUCGCGCGGACGGAGCGGCCGAUGGCAGAUUAGGUAGUUGGUGGGAUAAAAGCUUACCAAGCCGACGAUCUGUAGCUGGUCUGAGAGGAUGAUCAGCCACACUGGGACUGAGACACGGCCCAGACUCCUACGGGAGGCAGCAGUGGGGAAUUUUGGACAAUGGGCGAAAGCCUGAUCCAGCCAUGCCGCGUGCAGGAUGAAGGCCUUCGGGUUGUAAACUGCUUUUGUACGGAACGAAAAGCCUCUUUCUAAUAAAGAGGGGUCAUGACGGUACCGUAAGAAUAAGCACCGGCUAACUACGUG